rnacentral:misc_RNA from 1 species
CACCAAUCACGCCUGGCGUGGUAUUGGGCGACGGGGCGAGUCACAUCGCCCCGCGCCUCAAUGAUCUUUCCGGCGGGACGGACCGUAUCUCAGCGUUGUGCAAACGAGUCGCUGGCGAUGUGCGGGACGGCCGUGCCGUUAAACCCCCAUUUUAUUCA